CAAUAGCGUAUAUUAAAGUUGUUGCGGUUAAAAAGCUCGUAGUUGGAUUUCUGCUGAGGACGACCGGUCCGCCCUCCGGGUGAGCAUCUGGUUCGGCCUUGGCAUCUUCUUGGUGAACGUAUCUGCACUUGACUGUGUGGUGCGGUACCCAGGACUUUUACUUUGAGGAAAUUAGAGUGUUUCAAGCAGGCAUACGCCUUGAAUACAUUAGCAUGGAAUAAUAAGAUAGGACCUCGGUUCUAUUUUGUUGGUUCUAGAGCUGAGGUAAUGAUUAAUAGGGAUAGUUGGGGGCAUUCGCAUUUAAUUGAUUGCAGAGGUUGAAAAUUUCUUUGGAUUUGUUAAAGACGGACUACUGCGAAAGCAUUUGCCAAGGAU
rnacentral:rRNA from 1 species